rnacentral:rRNA from 1 species
GCAAGUAGAACGCUGAAGAGAGGAGCUUGCUCUUCUUGGAUGAGUUGCGAACGGGUGAGUAACGCGUAGGUAACCUGCCUUGUAGCGGGGGAUAACUAUUGGAAACGAUAGCUAAUACCGCAUAACAAUGGAUGACACAUGUCAUUUAUUUGAAAGGGGCAAUUGCUCCACUACAAGAUGGACCUGCGUUGUAUUAGCUAGUAGGUGAGGUAAUGGCUCACCUAGGCGACGAUACAUAGCCGACCUGAGAGGGUGAUCGGCCACACUGGGACUGAGACACGGCCCAGACUCCUACGGGAGGCAGCAGUAGGGAAUCUUCGGCAAUGGGGGCAACCCUGACCGAGCAACGCCGCGUGAGUGAAGAAGGUUUUCGGAUCGUAAAGCUCUGUUGUAAGUCAAGAACGGGUGUGAGAGUGGAAAGUUCACACUGUGACGGUAGCUUACCAGAAAGGGACGGCUAACUACGUGCCAGCAGCCGCGGUAAUACGUAGGUCCCGAGCGUUGUCCGGAUUUAUUGGGCGUAAAGCGAGCGCAGGCGGUUUGAUAAGUCUGAAGUUAAAGGCUGUGGCUCAACCAUAGUUCGCUUUGGAAACUGUCAAACUUGAGUGCAGAAGGGGAGAGUGGAAUUCCAUGUGUAGCGGUGAAAUGCGUAGAUAUAUGGAGGAACACCGGUGGCGAAAGCGGCUCUCUGGUCUGUAACUGACGCUGAGGCUCGAAAGCGUGGGGAGCGAACAGGAUUAGAUACCCUGGUAGUCCACGCCGUAAACGAUGAGUGCUAGGUGUUGGAUCCUUUCCGGGAUUCAGUGCCGCAGCUAACGCAUUAAGCACUCCGCCUGGGGAGUACGACCGCAAGGUUGAAACUCAAAGGAAUUGACGGGGGCCCGCACAAGCGGUGGAGCAUGUGGUUUAAUUCGAAGCAACGCGAAGAACCUUACCAGGUCUUGACAUCCCGAUGCUAUUUCUAGAGAUAGAAAGUUACUUCGGUACAUCGGUGACAGGUGGUGCAUGGUUGUCGUCAGCUCGUGUCGUGAGAUGUUGGGUUAAGUCCCGCAACGAGCGCAACCCCUAUUGUUAGUUGCCAUCAUUCAGUUGGGCACUCUAGCGAGACUGCCGGUAAUAAACCGGAGGAAGGUGGGGAUGACGUCAAAUCAUCAUGCCCCUUAUGACCUGGGCUACACACGUGCUACAAUGGUUGGUACAACGAGUUGCGAGUCGGUGACGGCGAGCUAAUCUCUUAAAGCCAAUCUCAGUUCGGAUUGUAGGCUGCAACUCGCCUACAUGAAGUCGGAAUCGCUAGUAAUCGCGGAUCAGCACGCCGCGGUGAAUACGUUCCCGGGCCUUGUACACACCGCCCGUCACACCACGAGAGUUUGUAACACCCGAAGUCGGUGAGGUAACCUUUUGGAGCCAGCCGCCUAAGGUGGAC